CAGAAGCUAGUCAUGUUGAGAAGGGAAUGCUUGUAUGUUUAAACCAUAAGAAGGAUCAGAAGGACCAGGGCAGCUGAACUCAGACUGCGGAUGAGCUACAUGGGACUCGUUUAUGUCAAUACAAUUACCAGCAGAAGAGUGUCAGGGUCUUUCACCACAUUUCCAAAGCCAGGUUACUUAUUAUCCAGCUUGUUCCUUGCUCUCUUCCUUCCACAGCAUGCAGAUAUUCCCCAAAGUGGACACAACCUUUCUAAUAUUUACAAAAACAUAGUUUAAAGUGAUCAAAACAAUAUACUUCAACAUCAGCUGGAGAACAUGCAUAACUAAUAUCAUGUAUGAGUAAUUCUGUACUCAUGAUAAAACAUGGGCAAAAAAAACCAAUCAAAUGGGAGAAGGCUACUUGGAUGAACACAUGUUCAUAGUAAUUGUCAGAAAGGAAAGGGUGGCUGUAGCUAGAAACUGUCU
rnacentral:lncRNA from 1 species